rnacentral:rRNA from 1 species
AUUGAACGCUGGCGGCAUGAUUUACACAUGCAAGUCGAACGGUAACAGGGAGCUUGCUCCGCUGACGAGUGGCGAACGGGUGAGUAAUGCGUCGGAACGUGCCGAGUAGUGGGGGAUAACGCAGCGAAAGUUGUGCUAAUACCGCAUACGUACUGAGGUAGAAAGUGGGGGACCUUCGGGCCUCACGCUAUUCGAGCGGCCGACGUCUGAUUAGCUAGUAGGUGAGGUAAAGGCUCACCUAGGCGACGAUCAGUAGCGAGUCUGAGAGGAUGAUCCGCCACACUGGGACUGAGACACGGCCCAGACUCCUACGGGAGGCAGCAGUGGGGAAUUUUGGACAAUGGGCGAAAGCCUGAUCCAGCCAUGCCGCGUGUCUGAAGAAGGCCUUCGGGUUGUAAAGGACUUUUGUCGGGGAGGAAAUCCCCAGCGCUAAUACCGCUGGGGGAUGACAGUACCUGAAGAAUAAGCACCGGCUAACUACGUGCCAGCAGCCGCUGUAACAC